rnacentral:snoRNA from 1 species
GGCAAUAUGAUGAGAAACUUCACUCUGAAUUUAUAGUUGUUGAAUUCAUAUUUAGUACCUUCAAAGUUCUCUGAUUGCU